rnacentral:rRNA from 1 species
UACAGAGGGUGCGAGCGUUAAUCGGAAUUACUGGGCGUAAAGCGUGCGUAGACGGUUCUGUAAGUCGGAUGUGAAAUCCCCGGGCUCAACCUGGGAAUUGCAUUCGAGACUGCAAAGCUUGGGUGCGGAAGAGGGAAGCGGAAUUUCCGGUGUAGCGGUGAAAUGCGUAGAUAUCGGAAGGAACAUCAGUGGCGAAAGCGGCUUCCUGGUCCAGCACCGACGUUCAGGCACGAAAGCGUCGGGAGCAAA